GCGGCCUGGGCCCCGGGCUGUGCUGCUGGGUGUCAGUGUUCUCCUGCCUCAGCCUCGCCUGCUCCUACGUGGGCAGCCUCUACGUCUGGAAGAGCGAACUGCCCAGGGACCAUCCCGCGGUCAUCAAGCGACGCUUCACCAGCGUCCUGGUGGUGUCCAGUCUCUCACCCCUGUGCGUGCUGCUCUGGAGGGAACUCACAGGCAUCCAGGUGCGAAGGAGGCGGGGCAAAGGGCAACGGCGGUGAGAGCUCAGGGGUCUUUAGGGGAGGAAGCAAAACUGAUGCCCCCUUUCCUGUGGCUCAGCCAGGCACAUCCCUGCUCACCCUGAUGGGCUUCAGGCUGGAGGGCAUUUUCCCAGCGGCGCUG
rnacentral:lncRNA from 1 species